GCUACCGGGCGACCGGAUGCGGAUCUCGAAAGCCUGUCCCAGUUCGGACUGGAGUCUGCAACCCGACUCCGUGAAGCUGGAUUCGCUAGUAAUCGCGCAUCAGCCAUGGCGCGGUGAAUACGUUCCCGGGCCUUGUACACACCGCCCGUCAAGCCAUGGAAGCCGGGGGUGCCUGAAGUGUGCAGCCGCAAGGAGCGCCCUAAGGUAAAACCGGUGACUGGGGCUAAGUCGUAACAAGGUACC
rnacentral:rRNA from 1 species